UGGCAUGCUUCCCCAAUGGACUCCAGUUCACAGAGCAGUCUGGCGGAGGAGAACAGAGGAGGAGACGACAAGAAAGAGGAUAUCAGAGUUAGAGUAUGCUAAUGACGGAGAGGAGAGAGAAUCACCCCCAAAUCACACCUUAAAGAGAAGAAAGAGGAUGGAUCACAGUGCGUGGUUAAGAUGGGAAGCUCAGAACAGGGCUCCCCUGGAUGAAGACUAAUGGACAGAUGAUGCCCCGCUGUAAGAACCUGGAGAUAUUCACUGGUUCUGAGGGAGGUGACAUGGACAUGAAACAGUGCCAGGGACACACCUUCCAGCACUUCCUCUGUCUGGACAGCAACCAGGGUGUGGUCAAGACAUCUG